rnacentral:rRNA from 1 species
AGCGAACGCUGGCGGCGGGCUUAACACAUGCAAGUCGAGCGGACCUUUCGGGGUCAGCGGCGGACGGGUGAGUAACGCGUGGGAACGUGCCUUCCGGUUCGGAAUAACCCUGGGAAACUAGGGCUAAUACCGGAUACGCCCUUAUGGGGAAAGGUUUACUGCCGGAAGAUCGGCCCGCGUCUGAUUAGCUAGUUGGUGGGGUAACGGCCUACCAAGGCGACGAUCAGUAGCUGGUCUGAGAGGAUGAUCAGCCACACUGGGACUGAGACACGGCCCAGACUCCUACGGGAGGCAGCAGUGGGGAAUAUUGGACAAUGGGCGCAAGCCUGAUCCAGCCAUGCCGCGUGAGUGAUGAAGGCCUUAGGGUUGUAAAGCUCUUUUAUCCGGGACGAUAAUGACGGUACCGGAGGAAUAAGCCCCGGCUAACUUCGUG